ACAAAAAAUAAAAACGCUAAUUUUAACGACGCUUAUGCUUCCAGCUAAACCCAAAAUCUUAAAUUCUAAACCCUAUACCCUAAAUUCUAAACCCAAAUCCAAACCCCUAAACCCAAACUCUAUAUCCUAAACCUUAAUCCUAGACCCUAAACCCAAAUUAUAUACCAUAAACUCAAAAACUAGACUAUAAACCUAAACUCUAUACCCUAAACCCAAGUCGUAGACCCUAAACCCAAACCGUAAAUCUUAAAUCCAAAUUAUAUACCCUAAACCCAAAACCUUAACCAUAAGUCCAAACGGUAAAUCCUAAACCCAAACCGUAAAUCCAAAACCCAAAACCUAUACCCUAAACCCAAAUCCUAGACCUAAAACCCAAACGGUAAACCCUAAACCCAAACCCCAAACUUAGAUGCUAUAGGGUUUGGGUUAAGAUUUACGGUUUGGGUUUAGGGUCUAAGACUUGGGUUUAGGGUAUAGGAUUUAGGUUUAUAGUCUAUUUUUUUUGGUUUAAGGUAUAUAAUUUGGGUUUAGGGUCUAAGAUUAGGGUUUAGGGUAUAGGGUUUGGGUUUUGGGGUUUGAAUUUGGGUUUAGAAUUUUGGGUAUAGGGUUUAGAAUUUAAGAUUUAGGGUUUAGGGUUUCGCUGGAAGCAUUAACGUCGUUAAAAUUAGCAUUUUUAUUUUUUGUAGCUAUUUUUUAUUUAAUUUAAUAUUUUUAAUUAAUAAUCUAUGUGUCACUUUGAUUGGUCGUAAAGAAUGAGGUGAAUUUAAAAAUUC
rnacentral:lncRNA from 1 species